rnacentral:rRNA from 1 species
AACGAACGUUGGCGGCGUGGAUGAGGCAUGCAAGUCGAACGCGAAAGCCGCAAGGCGAGUAAAGUGGCGGACGGGCGAGUAACACGUAAUCAAGCUGCCCAAGAGACGGGGAUAACCUCGGGAAACCGAGGCUAAUACCCGAUGGUCUGCCGGGGGCGCAUGUUCCUGGUAGUAAAUGGACGGGAUCCUUCGGGACCGUCUGCUUUUGGAGGUGAUUGCGGCCCAUCAGCUAGUUGGUAGGGUAACGGCCUACCAAGGCAACGACGGGUAGCCGGCCUUAGAGGGUGGUCGGCCGCACUGGGACUGAGACACUGCCCAGACUCCUACGGGAGGCUGCAGUCGAGAAUCUUCCGCAAUGGACGCAAGUCUGACGGAGCGACGCCGCGUGGAGGAUGAAGG